rnacentral:lncRNA from 1 species
UAUUAAUCAUGUUUUGAUCAGAGAAAAAUCUGGGUUGUCACUGAUCUGGAAACCCAUGAAAGACUCUCCAGGCAAUCAGAAAAAGAUAAGUUACAGAACUAUUGAAGCACAAACCACAGUAUAAGUAAAGGUCUGUUGUGAUAUAAAUUCAAAAUAGAACUAGACAUUGAGCAAUCAAGGGACAUUUGGUGUGUAGAUUAUAUUUUAAAUUAUUUUAUAAAUGUUUAUUUCAGGAUACUUAAAAUUCUGUCAUUGGUUUAUGUCUUUACAAGGUAAAGGAAAAAGAAAAGUCAAGUAAUACUUUUAUAACUGUUAGUACAUCUAGUAGCCAAGAAGAAUAUAAACUAAUAAACAAAUUAAGGCUUCAGAAUUAUUAGUGGAUAUGGGGGCCUUUCAUAACUCCUAUUUCUAUGCCUAACACUUAAUUCUUGGUGUUCCUAGGGGUCAGAUCAACAGCCUGUUCUCUCAUCUCUCCACACAUCACCUAGGACAAUGUCACCACUACCAUGGUUUCAGUUGCCAUUUACAUACUAACAGUUUCUGAGCUGCAUCUCCAAUUCAGAAACAGAGUGCUGGACAGAAUAAAAAAUUCAUCCAUUUAUUUGCUUGCCCAAUAUUUGCCCCUGGUUAUCCCAUAAUAUUUCAAAUUAAGCCUAUCCAAAAAAGAGGAGCUCAGCAUCCUUCCAAACCCUUUCUGCCUGUAAUUCUUUUCUCAGCAAAUGACAUAUUCCUCUUAUCCAUGUUCAGAUAGGACUUGUUCCUGUCAUCUUUAACUCCUGUUUCUCCUACACUCCCCACAUAUAAAAAUUACCAAGUCUUCUCUAUUUUAUUUCUAAAAAAUUAUUUUACCUUCCUACUGCUCUCCCAGCAUCACUAACCUCAUCCAUUACCACCAGCAUCUUACCUGGAAUGCUAUCUUAGAAUCCUGAUUGGUCUUCCUACCUUCAUUUUCCACCAUAUAGUUACAGUAAUGUUUCUUUUUUUUUUUUUUUUACAUUUCUACCUCUUUUAUUUUUUAUUUAUUUAUUUAUUUUUAAUUGGUUGUUCAAAACAUUACAAAGCUCAUGACAUAUCAUCUUCCAUACAUUUGAUUCAAGUGGGUUAUGAACUCCCAUUUUUUACCCCAAAUACAAGUUGCAGAAUCACAUCAGUUACACAUCCACAUUUUUACAUAAUACCAUAUUUGUGACUGUUGUAUUCUGCUACCUUUCCUAUCCCCUACUAUCCCCCCUCCCCUUCCCUCUCAUCUUCCC